UUUUUAUGUUUAUUAAUAUGCUAAUAAUAAUACACAUUUUAUUAAUUUUUUUAAAAUAUAAUGUAUAUGUUACCGGAAAUGUUGCCAAUUUAGGAAAUUACGACAAUUCCUAGUAAAUGUUGACAAUUCCUAAAAGCGGAAGGCAAUGUUAUCACCGUCUAGGAAUUGUCAUCAUUUCCGUAGUUUAUUAGGCAAUGUUAUCACUAGGGCCCGGAAUUUGAUGAUCUAAAAAUAUAUCAAAAAAAAUGCAUAAAAUGAUAUUUAUUAAUUUAUUUUUUUUUUUAAAUAAUAUUAAAAAUGUAUAUUUUACUGUAAAAAUUGAUAAAUAUUGUUUCGAUACAAAUUAUAAUUAUUAUAAAUUAAUUAAAUAAAACUAUAUAUUAUAGUCAUUUACACUCUAUAUAGAAGACACUAUCGAACUAAUAAUGCUGUCGAACUCAAAUUAAAUGAGAAACGGAGACACACGGGUAUAUAAAAUAAACUUAUAAAAUUAUUUUAUAUAUCUGUGUGGAGACAUGAAAUUAUAUCAAACACGGGUUUAUGUCGAUUGCGAUAACCGAUUUUAAACAAGCAUGUGUGUCCCUGGCAUAAAAUAGUCAAGCAGAAAAUCCGUUAUCACUUCGGGAGGCAGCUACUGUAAAUAGUAUUUCAGGGGCACAAGGAUAUACCCGAUGUCAAUGUAAGA